UACGUAGGCAGCGAGCGUUGUCCGGAAUUAUUGGGCGUAAAGAGCUCGUAGGCGGUCUGUCGCGUCGGUCGUGAAAACUUGGGGCUUAACCCUGAGCUUGCGGUCGAUACGGGCAUGACUGGAGUUCGGCAGGGGAGACUGGAAUUCCUGGUGUAGCGGUGAAAUGCGCAGAUAUCAGGAGGAACACCGGUGGCGAAGGCGGGUCUCUGGGCCGAUACUGACGCUGAGGAGCGAAAGCGUGGGGAGCAAACAGG
rnacentral:rRNA from 1 species